rnacentral:lncRNA from 1 species
AUGUGUGAAUUCAUUAACUGCGGAAAUGCUUCUGACCAGGCACCGUCUGAAAAUGUUCAAGGAGGAGCCACAGUUCCCACGAAAAAGGACUUUCCCAGCAACAGGCUUCAUGCUGAUUCUUCACAGGACAAUCACUGCGUUGGGUUUUUUCCCAUUAUGUGCAGUGAUAUAAUUUCAGUUGGAAAGAAAUUUUGCAAUAACGGUGAUGAUACACUCCAAUACCCAUGACUGAAACAGCAACACAGUAUGGAAAUAUGUUUCACAAUUGAAAGACUACGCUGUUUGCUUUUUUUCUCUGUAUUGUCACAGCAUGGAGCAGAAGGACAUUUUAGCGCGUUUGGCCAAAUUCUUUACAGUGGAACCAUGAAUGAAAUUCUUUUUAGAAUAGUCAGAUCACUUAAAAUAUGGACACAUAGCACAGCUUGCAGAAAGAAUGUGCAUCAGCUUGAACAACUGUACCAAUUAGUGUAAGUGAAGGAGCACGGGGCAAAACUGUAGAGGAUGAAAGCUCAGAUUUCUUUUUUCUGCCUUUCUCAACCCCCCCAAAUAGACUUUAAUGCACAAAAAACCUUUCUGUGGAUAAAGGGGACUACCACAUAAUGACAAAAGGUUCAGUUCACCAGGAGAUCCAACAAUGAACAUGCGUGCAUCUAAUAUUGUCUCAAAAUACGUAAGGCAAAAAUGAACAGGACUAUAGACAAAUAAGGAUACCUAAAAAGGGGGGGGGCAGGGGGUAAACCCCAAAUUCUGACAAGUCUAAUUGAAAUACAGGGAAAGAAUUGCUCUCAGAAAAGAAAAGGUUUUGAAAGCCAAAAAGGAAAACUUAUAAAAGGAUGCAGAGAAGGUGGCACAGUAGAGGUGUAAGGCCAAGGGAUGACAAGGAAGAAUAGAAGAGUAUUAGCAAGGGACACCUCUACCGAGAAGAGGAUGGACUUUAGGACGUGCACAGUGCAAACAUCUUUAAGGGACUGCAGGGAAUUGAUCCAGGAUAGAGAGAGUGUCAUGCAGGCUGUCUUACCUAAAUGCGCUCAGUAAAGGUCAAGAUCCAAAUCCAGGGCAGGAGAGGCAGUCCUUCCCAAGAGAAUGCCACCAGCAGGAGGAAACUCAGCAACACACGCUCUCUGAGUGAUUCAAACAAAAGAGCUGGAAUUAUUGACUAGGAUUAUGCAGGACAAAGAACAGACAGAGUUAAGUGAAGAGGCUUAUGACCGUUAGAAUUAUAAGAAUGAGGACGAGCAAAAUUCUAUCCUUGGAAUUAAGAAUCUUGGAAGCGGAAACAUGAAAGUCUACAAAUAUGUAAGGAAAAAUAAAUCACACAGCUGGAAAAAAGUAAAAUAUAUA